UCUCUCUGCUCCGCUCCCGCCGGCCGACCGUCGACGCGUUUCUCCUCCAGCGGUGAUCUUCCCCACCGACGCCGACCUACAGCUCAUCCAGUUCGAGCUCGCCCCAACGACCUCGAUCUCUCUGCUCCGCUCCAUCGAUGUCGUCCUCACAGCCACCGGUUGCAUCAAUUUUACGAAGUUUCAGUCCCUGGACAGUUUGUUGAUUAGGGUGCAGAGAGUGCAGAACAUAUUGGCCAGUGUGGCAUUAGAAAGCUCCUGCAUAUAUUUCUGUCACUACUUUAUCAUGAGAUUUUGUGUGGUAUUUUCUUCAUUCUUUCAUAGGUUGCAGAUGCUAUUAAAACUGAUUACUUGCUAUACAUAUCAAUGACACUCCAGCAGCUUACUAGGUUUACAAGAUGCUCAGUUACGGUACUCUUUCAUUCAGUUUUAUCUUGGUCGAUGAGUUGGCUUUCUCGCUAUAGACGAGCACCUACAUCUAGGAUCCCUUCAGACCACAUUGAUGUUCAGGCUCUGAAGUGGACAUAGUUUUCAGAAGUUUUAUUUGUUAACUUUUUUAGGGAAGUUUUAUUUGUCUACUUUUUCUGUAAGCUUAAAUAUGUUUUGUUAUUUGAUGCCAUAAAUACAAGACGCCCUCUAUCUGAAAUUUAAAUAGAUUGUUUGAUGCAUAAGAGAGUAAAUUUUAGAUCAUUAGCAUGGUGGGAAAUUGUUGUGACUUACUAAUUGAGCACAUCGGUGUAAUUGACACAUACUAAAGUGUAUAUGAA